rnacentral:rRNA from 1 species
UACGUAGGGGGCAAGCGUUGUCCGGAUUCAUUGGGCGUAAAGAGCGUGUAGGCGGCCAGGUAGGUCGGUUGUGAAAACUGGAGGCUCAACCUUCAGAGGUCGACCGAAACCAUCUGGCUAGAGUCCGGGAGAGGAGAGUGGAAUCCUGGUGUAGCGGUGAAAUGCGCAGAUAUCAGGAAGAACACCCGUGGCGAAAGCGGCUCUCUGGAACGGUACUGACGCUGAGACGCGAAAGCGUGGGGAGCAAACAGG